rnacentral:rRNA from 1 species
GGGUUGUGAGGUUAAGCGACUAAGCGUACACGGUGGAUGCCCUGGCAGUCAGAGGCGAUGAAGGACGUGCUAAUCUGCGAAAAGCGUCGGUAAGGUGAUAUGAACCGUUACAGCCGGCGAUGUCCGAAUGGGGAAACCCAGUGNNAUUCGUUGCACUAUCGUUAACUGAAUACAUAGGUUAACGAGGCGAACCGGGGGAACUGAAACAUCUAAGUACCCCGAGGAAAAGAAAUCAACCGAGAUUCCCCCAGUAGCGGCGAGCGAACGGGGAGCAGCCCAGAGUCUGAAUCAGCUUGUGUGUUAGUGGAACGGUCUGGAAAGUCCGACGGUACAGGGUGAUAGUCCCGUACACCAAAAUGCACAGGUUGUGAACUCGAAGAGUAGGGCGGGACACGUGGUAUCCUGUCUGAAUAUGGGGGGACCAUCCUCCAAGGCUAAAUACUCCUGACUGACCGAUAGUGAACCAGUACCGUGAGGGAAAGGCGAAAAGAACCCCGGCGAGGGGAGUGAAAAAGAACCUGAAACCGUGUACGUACAAGCAGUGGGAGCACCUUCGGGUGUGACUGCGUACCUUUUGUAUAAUGGGUCAGCGACUUAUAUUCUGUAGCAAGGUUAACCGUAUAGGGGAGCCGCAGGGAAACCGAGUCUUAACUGGGCGUUAAGUUGCAGGGUAUAGACCCGAAACCCGGUGAUCUAGCCAUGGGCAGGUUGAAGGUUGGGUAACACUAACUGGAGGACCGAACCGACUAAUGUUGAAAAAUUAGCGGAUGACUUGUGGCUGGGGGUGAAAGGCCAAUCAAACCGGGAGAUAGCUGGUUCUCCCCGAAAGCUAUUUAGGUAGCGCCUCGUGAACUCAUCUUCGGGGGUAGAGCACUGUUUCGGCUAGGGGGUCAUCCCGACUUACCAACCCGAUGCAAACUACGAAUACCGAAGAAUGUUAUCACGGGAGACACACGGCGGGUGCUAACGUCCGUCGUGAAGAGGGAAACAACCCAGACCGCCAGCUAAGGUCCCAAAGUCAUGGUUAAGUGGGAAACGAUGUGGGAAGGCACAGACAGCCAGGAUGUUGGCUUAGAAGCAGCCAUCAUUUAAAGAAAGCGUAAUAGCUCACUGGUCGAGUCGGCCUGCGCGGAAGAUGUAACGGGGCUAAACCAUGCACCGAAGCUGCGGCAGCGACACUAUGUGUUGUUGGGUAGGGGAGCGUUCUGUAAGCCUGCGAAGGUGACCUGUGAGGGUUGCUGGAGGUAUCAGAAGUGCGAAUGCUGACAUAAGUAACGAUAAAGCGGGUGAAAAGCCCGCUCGCCGGAAGACCAAGGGUUCCUGUCCAACGUUAAUCGGGGCAGGGUGAGUCGACCCCUAAGGCGAGGCCGAAAGGCGUAGUCGAUGGGAAACAGGUUAAUAUUCCUGUACUUGGUGUUACUGCGAAGGGGGGACGGAGAAGGCUAUGUUAGCCGGGCGACGGUUGUCCCGGUUUAAGCAUGUAGGCUGAUUGUCCAGGCAAAUCCGGAUAAUCAAGGCUGAGGUGUGAUGACGAGGCACUACGGUGCUGAAGUAACAAAUGCCCUGCUUCCAGGAAAAGCCUCUAAGCAUCAGGUAACAUUAAAUCGUACCCCAAACCGACACAGGUGGUCAGGUAGAGAAUACCAAGGCGCUUGAGAGAACUCGGGUGAAGGAACUAGGCAAAAUGGUGCCGUAACUUCGGGAGAAGGCACGCUGGUGUGUAGGUGAAGCCCCUGCGGGUGGAGCUGAGACCAGUCGAAGAUACCAGCUGGCUGCAACUGUUUAUUAAAAACACAGCACUGUGCAAACACGAAAGUGGACGUAUACGGUGUGACGCCUGCCCGGUGCCGGAAGGUUAAUUGAUGGGGUUAUCCGUAAGGAGAAGCUCUUGAUCGAAGCCCCGGUAAACGGCGGCCGUAACUAUAACGGUCCUAAGGUAGCGAAAUUCCUUGUCGGGUAAGUUCCGACCUGCACGAAUGGCGUAAUGAUGGCCAGGCUGUCUCCACCCGAGACUCAGUGAAAUUGAACUCGCUGUGAAGAUGCAGUGUACCCGCGGCAAGACGGAAAGACCCCGUGAACCUUUACUAUAGCUUGACACUGAACAUUGAGCCUUGAUGUGUAGGAUAGGUGGGAGGCUUUGAAGCGUGGACGCCAGUCUGCGUGGAGCCAACCUUGAAAUACCACCCUUUAAUGUUUGAUGUUCUAACGUUGGCCCCUUACCGGGGUUGCGGACAGUGUCUGGUGGGUAGUUUGACUGGGGCGGUCUCCUCCCAAAGCGUAACGGAGGAGCACGAAGGUUAGCUAAUCCUGGUCGGACAUCAGGAGGUUAGUGCAAUGGCAUAAGCUAGCUUGACUGCGAGCGUGACGGCGCGAGCAGGUGCGAAAGCAGGUCAUAGUGAUCCGGUGGUUCUGAAUGGAAGGGCCAUCGCUCAACGGAUAAAAGGUACUCCGGGGAUAACAGGCUGAUACCGCCCAAGAGUUCAUAUCGACGGCGGUGUUUGGCACCUCGAUGUCGGCUCAUCACAUCCUGGGGCUGAAGUAGGUCCCAAGGGUAUGGCUGUUCGCCAUUUAAAGUGGUACGCGAGCUGGGUUUAGAACGUCGUGAGACAGUUCGGUCCCUAUCUGCCGUGGGCGCUGGAGAAUUGAGGGGGGCUGCUCCUAGUACGAGAGGACCGGAGUGGACGCAUCACUGGUGUUCGGGUUGUCAUGCCAAUGGCACUGCCCGGUAGCUAAAUGCGGAAGAGAUAAGUGCUGAAAGCAUCUAAGCACGAAACUUGCCCCGAGAUGAGUUCUCCCUGAGACUUUAAGUCUCCUGAAGGAACGUUAAAGACGAUGACGUUGAUAGGCCGGGUGUGUAAGCGCAGCGAUGCGUUGAGCUAACCGGUACUAAUGAACCGUGAGGCUUAACCUUACAACGCCGAAG